UACGGAGGGGGCUAGCGUUGUUCGGAAUUACUGGGCGUAAAGCGCACGUAGGCGGCUUUGCAAGUCAGAGGUGAAAGCCCGGGGCUCAACCCCGGAAUUGCCCUUGAGACUGCAUCGCUAGAAUUGUGGAGAGGUAAGUGGAAUUCCGAGUGUAGAGGUGAAAUUCGUAGAUAUUCGGAAGAACACCAGUGGCGAAGGCGACUUACUGGACACAUAUUGACGCUGAGGUGCGAAAGCGUGGGGAGCAAACAGG
rnacentral:rRNA from 1 species